UACAGAUGCCCUAAAGGAGAUGAACAAACCAUUCUUUGAAUCUCCACAACGCUCUGAUAAAACUGCUGCCAACUUGGACAUAACUCAUCAAAUGUCUGAUUUCACCAGCACUGCACAGUCCUUCUCGAUGCCAAUGUCACAACAUCUCAGCAC